rnacentral:rRNA from 1 species
UACGGGGGGGGCAAGCGUUGUUCGGAAUUACUGGGCGUAAAGGGCUCGUAGGUGGCCAAUUAAGUCAGACGUGAAAUCCCUCGGCUUAACCGGGGAACUGCGUCUGAUACUGGAUGGCUCGAGUUCGGGAGAGGGAUGCGGAAUUCCAGGUGUAGCGGUGAAAUGCGUAGAUAUCUGGAGGAACACCGGUGGCGAAGGCGGCAUCCUGGACCGACACUGACACUGAGGAGCGAAAGCCAGGGGAGCAAACGGG